rfam:Felis catus isolate Cinnamon breed Abyssinian chromosome X, whole genome shotgun sequence.
GCCUGGGUGGCUCAGUCAGUUAAGUGUCUGACUUCUGCUCAGGUCAUGAUCUUGGGGUUUGUGGGUUCGAGCCCCGCAUUGGGCU